CAAAGAAGAAGUGCGCUGAGUGUGAUGCUUUAACAAAAGCAGCAUACGUCCUAACAAGAAAUAAGGUCCUCUGCUGCUUUCUUCAUAUUGCCAUGCUGUCUUCAAAGGGCGCAUGGACAUCCAGGAGAUGGAUGCUCUGCAAAGCACCUAUGCCUGCAGGGAAAGCCGAAGGCGAAGAGCUGUGUCCUGGUGGCUAUUGCUUCUGUAACAACCACUCAGAUGAGGACUUCCCACGUUUUCCUCAGUGCCCCCGUGCUGCAGCUCUUCUUCAGGCUGGAAUGGUUGGGGUUCCUUCUGCAUCCAUCUGAUGUAGUGGCAUCUCAAAGGCUUUGCGCAGGUGUCCCUUGCUCCCAAGAGGAUGCUAUCAGGGGACAGCAGUGUCCAUGUCAAAUGUACAGACCUGAGGGCCAAAGGGUAAUUAAAAACAUCAUGAAGUAAUUUGGUCGCUGAACCUGCUGUGGGUCCUGGGCAUCUUAAGGAGCAAAUACCACCAUGGUUUUUUCCCCUCAGGAAUACAAGGCUAACAGGACAACAGCUCAUCUGUGCAAAGCCCUGACUGCUCUCAAUUUGAAAAAAGCCUGUAGCUGAAUCUGCUGCAGUUUAUAACACAACCACUAUUAAUGUAGCUGUCCAAACAGUUUGUAGGUUAGGGAAAAGAGAAAACUGCAGUACCAGUUCAUUUGUGGGAAGAUCGGAGGAGCAGCACCAGUGCCAUGUCUACAUGCCUUGGAGGGACCUGCUGUGCCAUACAACCAGCACACUUCCUCUACUGAUAUAUAGAGAGUUUAUAUGCAUAUAUAGGUAUGCAUCAGUGUCACAAAGAUUGUAAAAGGAUGGGGGCGUCUAAUGCACUGGUGAUGCAGUGGCACAGCUGCGCUGGAGUGGUGGGGUCACCAUCCCUGGAGGUGUUUCAGAACCAUGGAGAUGUCGCACUGAGGGAUGUGGGCAGCGGGCAUGGUGAGCUGGGCUGGGGUUGGGCUCGGGGGUCUUGGAGAGCUUUUCCUGAAUGAUUCUGUGAGCCUAUGAUCUCUCAUAGAAGGACAGGCUGAGAGAGCUGGCACUGCUCAGCCUGGAGAAGGCUCAGGGGGAUCCCAUCCACAUGUAUAAAUACCU
rnacentral:lncRNA from 1 species